rnacentral:rRNA from 1 species
GGAUGAACGCUGGCGGCGUGCCUCAAACAUGCAAGUCGAGCGGGGCUAUGUAAUAUCGCAAGGUAGAACAUAGCCUAGCGGCGAACGGGUGAGUAACACGUGGGUAACCUGCCUGGAAGACAGGGAUAACGAUUCGAAAGGGUCGCUAAUACCUGAUAAUAUCCUUUCAUCGCAUGGUGAUAGGAAGAAAGGGGAAACCCGCUUUCAGAUGGGCCCGCGUCCCAUCAGCUAGUUGGUAAGGUAAAGGCUUACCAAGGCGACGACGGGUAGCCGGUCUGAGAGGAUGUACGGCCACACUGGGACUGAGAUACGGCCCAGACUCCUACGGGAGGCAGCAGUUGGGAAUCUUAGGCAAUGGACGAAAGUCUGACCUAGCGACGCCGCGUGAGGGAAGAAGGCCUUCGGGGCGUAAACUCCUGGACUGGGGGACGAGGAAGGACGGUACCCCAGUAGAAAGGGACGGCUAACUACGUGCCAGCAGCCGCGGUAAAACGUAGGUCCCGAGCGUUGUUCGGAUUCACUGGGUGUAAAGGGCGCGUAGGUGGUUGUCUGUGUCUCAUGUGAAAACUCAGGGCUCAACUCUGAGAUGGCGUGGGAAACUNNNCAGCUAGAGGACGGUAGAGGGGAGUGGAAUUCCCGGUGUAGCGGUAAAAUGCGUAGAUAUCGGGAGGAACACCGGUGGCGAAGGCGGCUCUCUGGGCCGAUCCUGACGCUGAGGCGCGAAAGCUAGGGGAGCGAACCGGAUUAGAUACCCGGGUAGUCCUAGCCGUAAACGAUGGGUGCUAGGUGUUGGGGGGUAAAGACCCUUCAGUGCCGAAGCCAACGCGAUAAGCAUCCCACCUGGGGAGUACGGCCGCAAGGUUGAAACUCAAAGGAAUUGGCGGGGGUCCGCACAAGCGGCGGAGCAUGUGGUUUAAUUCGAUGCUGCCCGAAGAACCUUACCAGGGUUUGACAUGCUGGUGGUAGGAACCUGAAAGGGGGACGACCCAACCGUAAGGGAGGGAGCCAGCACAGGUGUUGCAUGGCUGUCGUCAGCUCGUGCCGUGAGGUGUCGGCUUAAGUGCCGUAACGAGCGCAACCCUCAUCCCUAAUUGCUCCUGACAGGUAAAAGGGUCAGAGCACAAUAGGGAGACCGCUGGCGAAGAGCCAGAGGAAGGGGAGGAUGACGUCAAGUCAGCAUGGCCUUUAUGCCCUGGGCUACACACAUGCUACAAUGCAGGGUACAACGGGAAGCGAAGCCGCGAGGUGGAGCAAAUCCCCAAAAGCCCUGCUCAGUUCGGAUCGCACGCUGCAAUUCGCGUGCGUGAAGUCGGAGUCGCUAGUAACCGUGGAUCAGCAAAGCCGCGGUGAAUACGUUCUCGGGCCU